rnacentral:rRNA from 1 species
CAGCCGCCGCGGUAAUACGAAGGGGGCUAGCGUUGUUCGGAAUUACUGGGCGUAAAGCGCACGUAGGCGGAUAUUUAAGUCAGGGGUGAAAUCCCGCAGCUCAACUGCGGAACUGCCUUUGAUACUGGGUAUCUUGAGUAUGGAAGAGGUUAGUGGAAUUGCGAGUGUAGAGGUGAAAUUCGUAGAUAUUCGCAGGAACACCAGUGGCGAAGGCGGCUAACUGGUCCAUAACUGACGCUGAGGUGCGAAAGCGUGGGGAGCAAACAGGAUUAGAUACCCGCGUAGUCCCUGUCUCUUAUAC